AAUAAAAAUCUAUCAAAACAAUGCUAUUGUUAUUAUAAAACUCUGAUUUUUUAGUCUCAAUUCGUUUUUUUACUGCUCUGAAGUGGACUUAUGUGAGUUGUGUUCGUUUAAAUUUCAAGGAUGGAGUUAUAGGUUGUACAUGAUUAUUUUAAAUUCAUUUAGAUAUGAGCAAUAUACUAUUUCAUACUCUCUUACCAAAUGAAAUUUAGUACUCCUUGUCAAUUGACAGUUAGACACUAAACAACCUUCUCGGUUGAGUGCCUUAAGAAAUUACUCACUUGUUUUCUGUGAAUUUUGGAAUUUAGAUAAUGAUUCCAAGAUAAUUCCGGCUUUUGAUGAUUUUGGAAUGUUGGUUGCAUUUGUGCUUUGGUGUAGAUGAAGUUAUUAACAUGUAGUAGUAUAUUAAUGUUAGUAUGUUUUAGAUUGAUGUGUACAAGCAAGGGGGUAAGAUCUUGGCUAAGCUGACAGUGUUUGUUUAUUCUAUUUGUACGUGUAAGAGUCAAUAGUAUAAGGUUGGGUUUGCAGAUGAACUGAUGGAGCCUCUGUUCAUAUAUAGCCACAUGAACAUGCAGGUUCGUCAAGAGUUUGAUGAUCAUUUGUGGUCAGAGAGGAUGCAGUUGGGAACAUAUUUGGUCGAUGGUGACUCGUGACUUCAUUCUCUUCUUGUUAUUGUUGUUCCAUUUCUGUUGGCUUUCUCUCUAAAAUAAUUUCCUAAUUCUGAUUUCUCUUCUUGUUAUUCAUGCAACCAAACUUUUAGCUACAUGACAUAUCCAGAAAAAUCUUCUCAAGAGUCUUAAACCUUGUUUGUGAAUCUUGGCAGAAUAUCUCCAAUGGGCAUGAUCUUCAUUCCAUGCUAUAAAGGAUAUAGCCAUAAGCCUGAAGACUGAAGAGGAUAUUGCAAACGGGGUGAGAGUAUUAGCUCUAACGCUUGCCAAACUGUCUUUUUCUUCAUGUGUUGAGAGCUUGUUACUCAGGGCUCUGUGCCUAUGUAUGUACCUAAAUAAAUUGCUUAUUUUUCCCUUUGUUUUGAAAAUUAUUGAAUUGUACCAAUAAUAUUAUGGUUUCAUUGCUCA